GCCUGAGUGGCUCAGUCGGUUGAGCAUCCGACUUCAGCUCAGGUCAUGAUCUCGCGGUCUGUGAGUUCGAGCCCCGCGUCAGGCU
rnacentral:tRNA from 1 species